GAUGAACGCUGGCGGCGUGCCUAAUACAUGCAAGUCGAGCGAACAGACGAGGAGCUUGCUCCUCUGACGUUAGCGGCGGACGGGUGAGUAACACGUGGAUAACCUACCUAUAAGACUGGGAUAACUUCGGGAAACCGGAGCUAAUACCGGAUAAUAUAUUGAACCGCAUGGUUCAAUAGUGAAAGACGGUUUUGCUGUCACUUAUAGAUGGAUCCGCGCCGCAUUAGCUAGUUGGUAAGGUAACGGCUUACCAAGGCAACGAUGCGUAGCCGACCUGAGAGGGUGGUCGGCCACACUGGAACUGAGCCACGGUCCAGGCUCCUACGGGAGGCAGCAGUAGGGAAUCUUCCGCAGUGGGCGGAAGCCUGACGGAGCAACGCCGCGUGAGUGAUGAAGGUCUUCGGAUCGUAAAACUCUGUUAUUAGGGAAGAACAAAUGUGUAAGUAACUAUGCACGUCUUGACGGUACCUAAUCAGAAAGCCACGGCUAACUACGUG
rnacentral:rRNA from 1 species